UAAAGAAAGGCGAUAUUUAUGCAUCGUAGGCUCUGAAUUAAUUUAUCCUGGAAACGAGAAACUUUGUACUUACUGAUACGCACUCCAUCAUCCCAAUAAAGCUGACCUUCUGCAAGCUGACUAUCAUUCAAAGCAACGAUAAGAAAAAAAAAUGUUGGCUUUGGGGGAAAUUGAGAUCUUGAGCUGUCAGGGCGAGCUGAUGCCGAACACGAGUUUUCUCGAUCCCCCGGCAAUUUUAGAGGAAAAUUCGCUGUAAUUGAGGGGGAAACUUUUUACGAGGAUUACGGAAAUCCCGUGGACGUCAGUAGAAAUUCACGAUUACUGGAGGAGGAAGGACCACACUUACUCAUGGAGCAGAGGACGGACGACAGUGCUGCCGUGAGCGUUGGCUUCGUACAUUAACGUGUACAAAUAGGAUGUGGUGCGUUUACCUAAAAAUGGCAUAUAUGAAGAAUAAUAAAAAAUGUAGGAAAUGGGGAAAAUAUGGGAAAUAAAAAAAAACUCAAUUGAAGCAAAUGUGGAAGGCACCCAC